rnacentral:rRNA from 1 species
CCUACGGGAGGCAGCAGUAGGGAAUUUUGCGCAAUGGGGGAAACCCUGACGCAGCAACGCCGCGUGAUCGAUGAAGCCCUUCGGGGUGUAAAGAUCUGUUAGUGGGGACGAAACCUGACGGUACUCACAUAGGAAGAACCGGCUAACUACGUGCCAGCAGCCGCGCUAAUACGGGGGGUGCAAGCGUUGUCCGGAAUUAUUGGGCGUAAAGAGUUCGUAGGUGGCACGUUAAGUCUGGUGUUAAAGGCGGAAGCUCAACUUCCGAAGGGCACUGGAUACUGGCGAGCUUGAGUGCGGAAGAGGUAAGGGGAAUUGCUGGUGUAGCGGUGAAAUGCGUAGAUAUCAGGAGGAACAUCGGUGGCGUAGGCGCUUUACUGGGCCGUAAUUGACGCUGAGGAACGAAAGCCGGGGGAGCAAAUAGGAUUAGAUACCCUAGUAGUC